rnacentral:rRNA from 1 species
UAAGGCGAGGCCGAAAGGCGUAGUCGAUGGGAAACAGGUUAAUAUUCCUGUACUUGGUGUUACUGCGAAGGGGGGACGGAGAAGGCUAUGUCGGCCGGGCGACGGUUGUCCCGGUUUAAGCGUGUAGGUGUGUGCUCCAGGCAAAUCCGGUGCACUUUAACACUGAGGCGUGAUGACGAGGCACUACGGUGCUGAAGUGACAAAUGCCCUGCUUCCAGGAAAAGCCUCUAAGCAUCAGGUAACACGAAAUCGUACCCCAAACCGACACAGGUGGUCAGGUAGAGAAUACCAAGGCGCUUGAGAGAACUCGGGUGAAGGAACUAGGCAAAAUGGUGCCGUAACUUCGGGAGAAGGCACGCUGAUAUGUAGGUGAAGUGAUUUACUCAUGGAGCUGAAAUCAGUCGAAGAUACCAGCUGGCUGCAACUGUUUAUUAAAAACACAGCACUGUGCAAACACGAAAGUGGACGUAUACGGUGUGACGCCUGCCCGGUGCCGGAAGGUUAAUUGAUGGGGUUAUCCUCGCGGAGAAGCUCUUGAUCGAAGCCCCGGUAAACGGCGGCCGUAACUAUAACGGUCCUAAGGUAGCGAAAUUCCUUGUCGGGUAAGUUCCGACCUGCACGAAUGGCGUAAUGAUGGCCAGGCUGUCUCCACCCGAGACUCAGUGAAAUUGAACUCGCUGUGAAGAUGCAGUGUACCCGCGGCAAGACGGAAAGACCCCGUGAACCUUUACUAUAGCUUGACACUGAACACUGGUCCUUGAUGUGUAGGAUAGGUGGGAGGCUUUGAAGUGUGGACGCCAGUCUGCAUGGAGCCGCCCUUGAAAUACCACCCUUUAAUGGCUGGUGUUCUAACGUGGGCCCGUGAUCCGGGUUGCGGACAGUGUCUGGUGGGUAGUUUGACUGGGGCGGUCUCCUCCUAAAGAGUAACGGAGGAGCACGAAGGUCAGCUAAUCCUGGUCGGACAUCAGGAGGUUAGUGCAAUGGCAUAAGCUGGCUUGACUGCGAGCGUGACGGCGCGAGCAGGUGCGAAAGCAGGUCAUAGUGAUCCGGUGGUUCUGAAUGGAAGGG